GACGAACGCUGGCGGCGUGCUUAACACAUGCAAGUCGAACGGAAAGGCGCUGGUUUUGUGGCGUUCUCGAGUGGCGAACGGGUGAGUAACACGUGAGUAACCUGCCCUUGACUUUGGGAUAACUUCAGGAGACUGGGGCUAAUACCGGAUAGGAGAUCCUGCUGCAUGGUGUGGGUUGGAAAGUUUGGGCGGUUCGGGAUGGACUCGCGGCUUACCAGCUUGUUGGUGUGGUAGUGGCUUAGCAAGUCUUUGACGGGUAGCAGGCCUGAGAGGGUGACCGGCAACAUGGGGACUGAGAUACGGCCCAGAGUCGUACGGGAGGCAGCAGUGGGGAAUAUUGCACAAUGGGGGGAAGCCUGAUGAAGCAACGCCGCGUGCUGGAUGAUGGCCUUCGGGUUGUAAACCGCUUUCGCCUGUAAUGAAGCGUGAGUGACGGUAAUGGGUAAAGAAGCACCGGCUAACUCCGUG
rnacentral:rRNA from 1 species